GACCAAGUAAGUUUGUUCUGGGUAUAAGCUUUCAUGUGCAUGCACACGAAAGCUUAUACCCAGAACAAACUUAGUUGGUC